ACCUGGCUAGCCAAGUUGGUAGAGCAUGUGACUCUUGAUCUUGGGGUUAUGAGUUCAAGCCCCGUGUUGGGUG
rnacentral:tRNA from 1 species